GACGAACGCUGGCGGCGUGCUUAACACAUGCAAGUCGAACGGAAAGGCCCUGCUUUUGUGGGGUGCUCGAGUGGCGAACGGGUGAGUAACACGUGAGUAACCUGCCCUUGACUUUGGGAUAACUUCAGGAAACUGGGGCUAAUACCGGAUAGGAGCUCCUGCUGCAUGGUGGGGGUUGGAAAGUUUCGGCGGUUGGGGAUGGACUCGCGGCUUAUCAGCUUGUUGGUGGGGUAGUGGCUUACCAAGGCUUUGACGGGUAGCCGGCCUGAGAGGGUGACCGGCCACAUUGGGACUGAGAUACGGCGCAGACUCCUACGGGAGGCAGCAGUGGGGAAUAUUGCACAGUGGGCGGAAGCCUGAGACAGCAACGCCGCGUGCGGGAUGACGGCCUUCGGGUUGUAAACCGCUUUCGCCUGUGACGAAGCGUGAGUGACGGUAAUGGGUAAAGAAGCACCGGCUAACUACGUG
rnacentral:rRNA from 1 species